rnacentral:rRNA from 1 species
GAUGAACGCUGGCGGCGUGCCUAAUACAUGCAAGUCGAGCGAACGGACGAGAAGCUUGCUUUUCUGAUGUUAGCGGCGGACGGGUGAGUAACACGUGGAUAACCUACCUAUAAGACUGGGAUAACUUCGGGAAACCGGAGCUUAUACCGGAUAAUAUUUUGAACCGCAUGGUUCAAAAGUGAAAGACGGUCUUGCUGUCACUUAUAGAUGGAUCCGCGCUGCAUUAGCUAGUUGGUAAGGUAACGGCUUACCAAGGCAACGAUGCAUAGCCGACCUGAGAGGGUGAUCGGCCACACUGGAACUGAGACACGGUCCAGACUCCUACGGGAGGCAGCAGUAGGGAAUCUUCCGCAAUGGGCGAGAGCCUGACGGAGCAACGCCGCGUGAGUGAUGAAGGUCUUCGGAUCGUAAAACUCUGUUAUUAGGGAAGAACAUAUGUGUAAGUAACUGUGCACAUCUUGACGGUACCUAAUCAGAAAGCCACGGCUAACUACGUG